rnacentral:rRNA from 1 species
AACGAACGCUGGCGGCACGCUUAACACAUGCAAGUCGAACGGUAACAGUGACUUCGGUCAGCUGACGAGUGGCGAACGGGUGAGUAACACGUGGAGACCUACCCUAGGGUACGGGACAACAGUUAGAAAUGACUGCUAAUACCGUAUACGUCCUACGGGAGAAAGAUUUAUUGCCCUUGGAGGGGUCCGCGUUGGAUUAGCUUGUUGGUGAGGUAACGGCUCACCAAGGCUACGAUCCAUAGCUGGUCUUAGAGGACGAUCAGCCACACUGGGACUGAGACACGGCCCAGACUCCUACGGGAGGCAGCAGUGGGGAAUAUUGCGCAAUGGGGGGCAACCCUGACGCAGCGAUGCCGCGUGAGUGAAGAAGGCCUUCGGGUUGUAAAAGCUCUUUCAGUUAGGGAAGAAUUGUGACGGUACCUACAGAAGAAGCUCCGGCUAACUCCGUGCCAGCAGCCGCGGUAAU